GACGAACGCUGGCGGCGUGCUUAACACAUGCAAGUCGAACGGAAAGGCCCUGCUUUUGUGGGGUGCUCGAGUGGCGAACGGGUGAGUAACACGUGAGUAACCUGCCCUUGACUUUGGGAUAACUUCAGGAAACUGGGGCUAAUACCGGAUAGGAGCUCCUGCUGCAUGGUGGGGGUUGGAAAGUUUCGGCGGUUGGGGAUGGACUCGCGGCUUAUCAGCUUGUUGGUGGGGUAGUGGCUUACCAAGGCUUUGACGGGUAGCCGGCCUGAGAGGGUGACCGGCCACAAUGGGACUUGGGUACGGCCCAGACGCCUACGGGAGGCAGCAGUGGGGAAUAUUGCACAAUGGGCGGAAGCCUGAUGCAGCAACGCCGCGUGCGGGAUGACGGCCUUCGGGUUGUAAACCGCUUUCGCCUGUGACGAAGCGUGAGUGACGGUAAUGGGUAAAGAAGCACCGGCUAACUACGUG
rnacentral:rRNA from 1 species